UUAAAAAGCUCGUAGUUGGAUCUCGGCGGUCUGAGGGCGGUUCGCUUGAUUGAGUGCUACUGCUCUAUAGGCCGUGGUUUUGCCAGAGGUCUCGGGGUGCUCUUAACCGAGUGUCCUGCGAUGCUGGCAGGUUUACUUUGAAAAAAUUAGAGUGCUCAAAGCAGGCUUUUACGCCUGAAUAUUCGUGCAUGGAAUAAUAGAAUAGGAAGUCGUUUCUAUUUUGUUGGUUUUCGGAAAUCGACUUAAUGAUUAAUAGGGACAGUCGGGGGCAUUUGUAUUCAAACGACAGAGGUGAAAUUCUUGGACCGUUUGAAGACAAACUACUGCGAAAGCAUUUGCCAAGAAUGUUUUCAUUAAUCAAGAACGAAAGUUAGAGGUUCGAAGGCGAUUAGAUACCGCCCUAGUUCUAACCAUAAACGAUGCCAGCUAGCGAUCUGCCGACGUUUUCUUUGUAGACUCGGCAGGAAGCUUCCGGGAAACCAAAGCAUUUGGGUUCCAGGGGAAGUAUGGUUGCAAAGCUGAAACUUAAAGGAAUUGACGGAAGGGCACCACCAGGAGUGGAGCCUGUGGCUUAAUUUGACUCAACACGGGAAAUCUCACCAGGCCCGGACACUGGAAGGAUUGACAGAUUGAUAGCUCUUUCUUGAUUCGGUGGGUGGUGGUGCAUGGCCGUUCUUAGUUGGUGGAGUGAU
rnacentral:rRNA from 1 species